UACUUCCGUGCACAUGCUAGAAUUUGUUUUGACCUGUCAUACUUCGUUCGAGAAAAUUCAGUAAGCAGAAGAAGCUACAGGUUUGAUUGCCAAACAUGGUGAAGUUACACAUCAAAAGAGCCGACGAGAGUCAGUUCCUGUAUGAGACCACAGUUGAGAUGCCGGUGGAUGACUUGCUGAAGGAUUUGACAGCCAUUUACAAUGGUCGACUCAAGGUCCACAGAAUCUGUGCAGAAAUUGAGGAAUUGGCUAAGCAUGGUAUAACCCUGCCCCCAAACAUGAUGGGCCUGACAGAUGAUCAGAUUGUGGAUCUCAAACUGAAGGAUGAAUGGGCAGAUAAAUGUGAACCUAGUGGGGGCCACAAGUUCAACAAGGAUCCAAUUGGCCGCAGAAAUGGAAUGGCUCCAAAUGAAAAGAUGGCUGAAGUUUUGACAAAAACAGUAAAAGAAGCAAAAGACAUGAUCAGCAAGAAAAAAGUUCCAAUGGACCAGUAUGUGACCCAGGCCACUGUGAAGGAAGCCCUGGACAUCCUGCGUGGAGCAUCAAUGAUUGUAUAUCCCAUGAACCUGCCUCCCCACGACAACAUACGCAUGGAGUUUGAAAACAAUGAGGACUUAGAAGGAACUCAGGCUUCCACUGAAGUGUUACCUGAAGACAACACAUCAGUAUGGUUCUCUGGCAAGGAGAUGUUGAGAGGCAAACUUUUGAAGGAUUUUGUUGGCAAAAAUGAGAAAACGAAGAUAAUAGCCAAGCUGCAAAAGAGAGGCCAGGGUGUGCCCCAGAGAGAGCAGGUUGUCAAUGAGGAGGAGCAGAAAAAGAUGAUGGCUUACUACUACAAAAAACAGGAGGAAUACAAGAAAUUACAAGCUGAAUCAGAAGAUGCUUACAUGGAUCAGGAGUGGGCAGACAAUGGUGCUCUGAAGCGGAACUUAAACGGGGUCCGAGAUAUCAAAUGGGGUGGCCCUCGGUGAUAAAUAUCACAACAUAUUUCUUUUUAAAUGCAAAUUGAACAAAACUAAUUUAUGGAAAGAUCUGAUGACCUGUAUUUCAAGGAAAAUAAAAUGAAUGUAAAAAUAUUUUUAAAUAUUUUCAGAUAUUACAAAAAGUUGUUUAAACUAACAGUGGAUUUGUUAACUUAAAAAAGAUUAAAUUGAUUGAAGAUUUCUCAUGAUGAAGAAAAUACUGGAUUUAUUGAAAGGAUCAGUUUAGUUUCAGUUCCUUCUUUGUGACAGUGUGUAUAAUCUACACAUAUGAUAGGUACCUUGUGCUCUGUGUGAUGUACUCUGUGACAGGUACCUGGAACUCUGUGUGAUGUACUCUGUGACAGGUACCUGGUACUCUGUGUAAUGUACUCUGUGACAGGUACCUGGUACUCUGUGUGAUGUACUCUAGGUACCUGGUACUCUGUGUGAUGUACUCUGUGACAGGUACCUUGUGCUCUGUGUGAUGUACUCUGUGACAGGUACCUGGUACUCUGUGUGAUGUACUCUAUGACAGGUACCUGGUACUCUGUGUGAUGUACUCUGUGACAGGUACCUUGUGCUCUGUGUGAUGUACUCUAUGACAGGUACCUGGUACUCUGUGUGAUGUACUCUAGGUACCUGGUACUCUGUGUGAUGUACUCCAUGACAGGUACCUGGUACUCUGUGUGAUGUACUCUAUGACAGGUACCUGGUACUCUGUGUGAUGUACUCUGCAACAGGUACCUGGUACUCUGUGUGAUGUACUCUGUGACAGGUACCUGGUACUCUCUGAGAAGUCAUUUUUCAAUUAUGACCACAUUACCAAUGCAUUAUGUCCCUGAGCUACCUGAUUUUACCGUACAUGUCAUUGCUGUUGAGCAAAGAUCGUUUCAUUACAGUAGUGAAUGGGCAGAGAUGGUAACACCAAUUUGUUGUGUAUUUAUUGAAAUGUUUAUUUUCACCAUACAUAUGUUUCAUGUAUCAAAUCUGAUGUGUUCUGUUAAAUUCAGCAUUUUAAUCGUGUAAAUUUAUACAUUUUUCUAUGUAUAUAUUUAUGGAAAUUUCUAUUACUAUACCAAUAAAUAUUGAUGAGCUGGAUCAUACCAAUAUAUAAUAUUGAUGUAAAAUGUGUAGUGAUUGCCAAUAAUAUUUUGAUAUGUAUGCAACCAUACUUAUUUUGAGGAUUAAAUGAGAAAUUUUUGAAACUGAAAAUAUUCAGAACAUGUACAAUUUUAUUAGUCAAGAGAAGAAUUGUUUUAAGCAAGCUGUUUGUCUUAACCAACGAAGCAUCCAAAUUUGGACUAAUUUCUUUUUAAUGUCCAAGAUCCAUCACUGUUUUUAGAAUGUCUGUACAAUGCCAACAUUCCGUCCAUUAUAACCAUAUUUAUAAAAUAGAAUGCCGUGUGAAUGGAUUUGUUACAAUUCUCACAUUUCUGUCUCUGAUAGAUACUGUACAUACAACCACAAAGUGAAAAAUAUUUUAUUGAAUUUUUAUACAUAAAAUUUGUAUACUAUUCCAAAUCAUUAUCAUUUUCAUUGUAAAUCAGUCAAGAAAGAAGUAUAUAUGUGUAUAGUUUGCUGAAUGUAGGAAUGGAUGCGAAUUAAAAAUAUAAAUCAA
rnacentral:misc_RNA from 1 species